AUGUCUUCGUGGGAGGACGAGGACUCCGCCGCCGCGUCGGCCGCGGCGACCACGGACGUGGAGCUGCUGAAGCGUGCUUGGCGCAACGAGAAGGCCGCGCCGGAGAUCCUCCACUUCGACUCCGCCCUCGUCUCCCGCGCCCGCGAGCAGAUCCAGCUCCUCGAGGAGACGCUCGAUGACUUCACGGAUAACGGCGUCGACGACCUGGUGGUCUCGCUCUACCAGAUGGACCUAGACCGCACGCUCUUCCUGCUCCGCUCCUACCUACGGCUCCGCCUGCAGAAGAUUGAGAAGUACAUGGCCCACAUCGCCAAUUCUGAGGACCUCUUGAGCCGGCUGUCGCAGCAGGAGCAGCGAUUCGCCAAGAGCUGCAAGGAGAUCAUGGAGAAGCAUCUCGAGCAGUCGGUGCUGUCGAAGCUUCCCUACGGUUAUGACUCGGUAACGAGGCAAUCCUUGUCGAGCACGGAGGAUGACAUGGUUCCAGAGCCUCAGCUUGACACAUUUGUCUUCUGCAAGACCAAGAGUGACGUAGGAGCAUUCCAGCUAGAUGACGUAGGGGAGGAAGUUGUGGAUUUGGUUGCUGACGACCUGUAUGUCCUUCGGUACAAGUCCAUCAAGGGCCUUGUCGAGGCCGGCCGAAUUGACCUUAUUUGA
rnacentral:rRNA from 1 species